UCACUUUGGCAGUACAUAUACUAAAAUUGGAACGAUACAGAGAUUAGCAUGGCCCCUGCGCAAGGAUGACACGCAAACUCACCAUGCAGCCAGUUCCA
ensembl:snRNA U6 U6 spliceosomal RNA